AAUCUGUGAUGUGGGCAGGCUCUCAUUAGCUCCUUAUAUCACUCUCACGCUUCAAAGAGCUAUCCAUCGUCACUCUGCCUAAAGUAGGUAAUCUGCUUCCUAAGUUG